AAAGUGCGAACAAGGUUUCCUAGGUCAAGUUUAGCCUGCACAGCGGGUCAAUCCCUCGCUAGUCUCCGCUGGAGGCGACACGCAUCAACCUGUGGGAAGGCCCGUCCCUGGGAAAUUGCCACAGCCCACUUCCCUCGCCCGGAAGUCGGUUUAGAGGCCUCAAUGAGCGUGGGUGCUGAUCUCAGCGCUUGAGAUAGAGUCCGUCCCAGCUGGUAACCGCUGGGGGCGAACGGAGCCUGACGGAAGGAUCAUUACAGAAUUGACGGCAUUUGCGAAGCCAGAUCCUCACCCCGUGUAUACGACUAUCUCUGCUUGCUUUGGCGGGCAAGCCUGGGCGCCUGCCAGAGGGAAACCCUUGAAUCUCUGCGUCAUGGAGCACGAUAAAAUAGUCAAAUC
rnacentral:misc_RNA from 1 species